UACCAGCUCUCCGAGUGGUAGGGAUGAUUAUUGGGCUUAAAGCGUCCGUAGCCGGCUUAGCAAGUCUCCUGUUAAAUUCAGCGACCUAAUCGUUGAGCCGCGGGAGACACUACUAGGCUAGGAGGCGGGAGAGGCCGACGGUAUUCUCGGGGUAGGGGUGAGAUCCUAUAAUCCCGGGAGGACCACCAGUGGCGAAGGCUGUCGGCUAGAACGCGCUCGACGGUGAGGGACGAAAGCUGGGGGAGCGAACCGGAUUAGAUACCCGGGUAGUCCCAGCUGUAAACGAUGCGGGCUAGGUGUUGGGGUGGCUACGAGCCACUUCAGUGCCGCAGGGAAGCCAUUAAGCCCGCCGCCUGGGGAGUACGGCCGCAAGGCUGAAACUUAAGGAAUUGGCGGGGAGCACCACAAGGCGUGAAGCUUGCGGUUC
rnacentral:rRNA from 1 species